rnacentral:tRNA from 1 species
UCCCUGAUGGCUCAGACAGUAAAGAAUCUGCUUCCAGUGCAGGAGGCCCAGGUUCAACCCCUGGGUUGGGAA